GAUGAACGCUGGCGGCGUGCCUAAUACAUGCAAGUCGAGCGAACAGACGAGGAGCUUGCUCCUUUGACGUUAGCGGCGGACGGGUGAGUAACACGUGGGUAACCUACCUAUAAGACUGGGAUCACUUCGGGAAACCGGAGCUAAUACCGGAUAAUAUUUCGAACCGCAUGGUUCGAUAGUGAAAGAUGGCUUUGCUAUCACUUAUAGAUGGACCUGCGCCGUAUUAGCUAGUUGGUAAGGUAACGGCUUACCAAGGCAACGAUACGUAGCCGACCUGAGAGGGUGAUCGGCCACACUGGAACUGAGACACGGUCCAGACUCCUACGGGAGGCAGCAGUAGGGAAUCUGCCGCAAUGGGCGAAAGCCUGACGGAGCAACGCCGCGUGAGUGAUGAAGGUCUUCGGAUCGUAAAACUCUGUUAUUAGGGAAGAACAAACGUGUAAGUAACUGUGCACGUCUUGACGGUACCUAAUCAGAAAGCCACGGCUAACUACGUG
rnacentral:rRNA from 1 species